rnacentral:rRNA from 1 species
AUUGAACGCUAGCGGCAGGCUUUACACAUGCAAGUCGAACGAGUGGCGGACGGGUGAGUAAUGUAUGGGAAUCUGCCCGAUAGCGGGGGAUAACUACUGGAAACGGUGGCUAAUACCGCAUACUAUCGGAUCAGCCCAUAUGGGAUUAGCUAGUUGGUGGGGUAAAGGCUCACCUAGGCGACGAUCCGUAGCUGGUCUGAGAGGAUGACCAGCCACACUGGGACUGAGACACGGCCCAGACUCCUACGGGAGGCAGCAGUGGGGAAUUUUGGACAAUGGGGGAAACCCUGAUCCAGCCAUCCCGCGUGUAUGAGAAGGCCUUCGGGUUGUAAAGUACUUUUGGUAGGGAAGCGGUAUCAGCAGAAUAAGCACCGGCUAACUACGUGCCAGCAGCCGCGGUAAUAC